UCUGCAUAAAGAACAGAUAAAGAGCAAGUUGCUUAAAAUACCUGUCCCAUUUAGUUACAGAGGGCAUAAAGAGUGUAUAAGGAUUUUCUCCUGUGUAGGGCUUUAGAUCUUACUGCUGAAUCUUGCCUUGUAUUAGGCAACACUGACCUUGGAUUAGGCAAACAGCCUCCAGUACCACCUCUCAGAAACAUUUGCUGACCCAGGUUUGACCAGACCCUCUCCAAUUCAAUGCUUUUGUUCAGCAGAAGACAGAAGUGAGAGGCUGAAGAUCUACUGAACUAUCCAACAGAAGCUAGUAUGAUGUCACCAUCUUGCAAAGACCAAGUUUUGAGGAAGCCCUGCAUGUGCUGAAAUUGAAGAAGUGAGAGCUUGACUUUCAGUAUUCCUCCAUGGGAUGAACCCUCAUUGUACAACAGGUUUUUUUGUGCCAAUCAUUAAGCACUAAGCAUGAGUCUGAGUAAGAAUUAUUAAUAGGUCACCUAGGAAGGCAAUCACCUAGGACACUAGAUUUUCUAGAACAGGUUAUACCACAUGACUGCAGAGGAUGAUGUCUCUGAGAGCACCACGACUAGCAGGCAGGGAUCUGCUAACAAUAGACUUGAACCUGCUGUCUUACCAUUUUAUUUAGUUAGAAGAAAGUGAAAUGUGCUCAGUUAAAGGGCCCAUCUUGUUUCCAGUAUUAAUGUCUGGACUAAGAAUCAUACAAAGUUAUUCCAACACUGGUCUAGUUCCUUUCCUUCUGUUCCACCUUUUCUUCCGAACAUACCUAAACCUCAAACAUUCCUAAAACACCUGCAGAACCAGGAGCUGCUGUACUCAAUGGUAACAUAUUUUUUUCCUAUUACUAUAUGGGCUAUAAUUUCCUUUCCUAAGCUUCCAACCACUUUGUUCUGUGGGAUCUAACUGAUGGAUAAUAGCUAUUUUCUUUACCCAGACAUGAUAGUUUGUAAGUGGUUUUGAUGUUGAGAAACACUCUUACCUUUUCCAUGCCUCCCAAUCCCAACUGGUUUUCCCUACACUUCGCUAACAACAAAAAGU